AAAGUCAUAACAAGGUUUCCGUAGGUGAACCUGCGGAAGGAUCAUUAAUAAUGCCCUCUGAUUUCGGUCAGCUGGGUUCAAUGUGUGCCAUCUCUUCGGAGGUGGCCAUCCACACACACCGUGAACUGUGGCUUCGGCCAUCACAAACUAUUAGUAAUGAAUGUAAAAAUCAUAACAAAAUAAAACUUUUAACAACGGAUCUCUUGGCUCUC
rnacentral:misc_RNA from 1 species